AGAAAAAAAGUAUGCUGAGAUUGCUAAGAUCUACACCUAAUGAGGAGGUGACUAUCAUGAAGGUCUGGUGGUGAAGAUCUUGCAAGAAGGUGCCUUGUUUGAGAUCUUUCAAGGAAACACAGUACUCAAUGAAUGUGGUUUGGUGUACAGUUGUGCCUUGAGCAACAUGGAUUUGAACUGCAUGGGGUCACUUAAAUGUGGAUUUUCUUAUGACUCUGCUGCCCUUGAGACAGCAAGAUCAACCCCCCUCCUCCUCAGCCAACUCAACAUGAAGACAAUGAAGAUUAAGACCUUUAUGAUGAUCCACUUCCACUUAAUGAAUAAUAAAUAUAUUUUGUCUUCUUUA
rnacentral:antisense_RNA from 1 species